rnacentral:rRNA from 1 species
CGUCUAUAUACGUAUAGCAUAUCAAUAAGCGGAGGAAAAGAAACUAACUAGGAUUCCCUCAGUAACGGCGAGUGAAGCGGGAAGAGCUCAAAUUUGAAAUCUUCAAGGUUCUACCUUGACGAAUUGUAGUUUAAAGAAGUGUUUUCUGUUGGAGUUUUGGUAAAAGUUCUUUGGAAUAGGACAUCAUAGAGGGUGAGAAUCCCGUAUUUGACCAUUAUUUCCAACUUUGUGAUACACUUUCAAAGAGUCGGAUUGUUUGGGAAUGCAGUCCAAAAUGGGUGGUAAAUUUCAUCUAAAGCUAAGUACUGGCGAGAGACCGAUAGCGAACAAGUACCGUGAGGGAAAGAUGAAAAGAACUUUGAGAAGAGAGUUAAACAGUACGUGAAAUUGUCAAAAGGGAAGCGUUUGACACCAGUGUUGUUUUCUCGAAAAUUAAUUAAAAAUGGCUGGGAUUUUGUGUUGUAUUGACUUUAUCAGCUUUCUGCACUCUUUUCCUAUCUUUUUUAAUGCACUUUUCGUUUAACAAGUCAACAUCAAUUUCUUUUGUUGUAAAAGGGUCAUUGGAAGGUGGCUUUCUUUUCGGAGAAAGUGUUUAUAGCCUUUGACUUCUGCAAUCGGAGAGAUUGGGGUCUGCAGCGUAGAUCCUUCGGGGUUAGAUGCAUUUGUGCUAAGUUAUAGCCUUUCAUAGACAACUUGUUGACUAUGAUCAGUCAUGUAGCUUACUCGCUUAUGUCAUUUUACCUACGCUUAGGAUGUUGACGAUCAGCUGAGCGCG